GAUGAACGCUAGCGGCAGGCCUAAUACAUGCAAGUCAAGGGGCCAGCAAUGGCACCGGCGGACGGGUGCGUAACGCGUACACAACGUGCCUCUGACAGGGGGAUAGCAUUGGGAAACUGGUGGUAAUACCCCAUAGUAUUGCUGGGAGGCAUUUCUUGGCAAUUAAAGUUACGGCGGUCAGAGAUCGGUGUGCGUCCGAUUAGCUAGUUGGCGGGGUAACGGCCCACCAAGGCGACGAUCGGUAGGGGGUGUGAGAGCAUGACCCCCCCACAUGGGUACUGAGACACGGACCCAACUCCUACGGGAGGCAGCAGUAAGGAAUAUUGGACAAUGGUCGGAAGACUGAUCCAGCCAUGCCGCGUGAAGGACGAAGGCGCUCAGCGUUGUAAACUUCUUUUUGGAUGGGGAUAAUAACCUCGAUUUAUCGGGGCUUGAAGGUACCAUCAGAAUAAGCACCGGCUAACUCCGUG
rnacentral:rRNA from 1 species